UCUUCCACCACUGUAAUGGUGUAAUAACUCUCUCUCUCUCUCUCUCUCUCGCUAGCUGUGGGGGCCUGUGGUUCUUGUCAAUGACCAUACAAUUUCAUCAGAUUUGUCUCUAUUAUUUCUUUCCUUCUUUCUUUGGAAACUGAUCAUCCACCACCACUUUCCAUCCCUGCCAUUUCCGAUAACAACAAACAAGAAAGCAUCCUGCUUUCCUCCUUGUUCUCCUCUCUUCUCUUCUGUUAGUUAACAAUACAACAUCGGCUUUUUACAGUCAUUGGAUUGGACCUGCGUUUUUCCUCCAACGUACUAAAUGGCUUCUUCUAUGGUUCCGUCUAAGAAUUUUAAGAGAUCGCAAUCAAGAAAAUCACAUUCGUGGUGGUGGGAUAGUCAUAUCAGUCCGAAAAAUUCCAAGUGGCUUAUUGAGAAUCUUGAGGAGAUGGACCAGAACGUUAAGCGGAUGCUGAAGCUAAUUGAAGAUGAUGGAGAUUCAUUUGUUAAAAAGGCUGAGAUGUAUUAUCAGAAGAGACCAGAACUAAUUUCUCAUGUAGAGGAGUUCUACCGCAUGUAUCGAUCUCUGGCUGAACGUUAUGAUCACGUGACAGGAGAAUUAAGGAGGAGUAUUCCACCAGAUCUUCAAUCCCAGGGCUCCGGAAUUUCUGAUAUUGUCUCUGAACCACCUUCUCCUGCGCGUGAACAAAAACUAAGCCGCCAUAAAUCUGGCCCUCGAGCUGCUGGGUUUGAAUUCUUUCUGGGUUCCGGUGGUAGUAGCAGCGAUCAUCACCAGAAAGAAGGAGAUGAAUCAUCCACUUUGACAGAUUCAGAAUCAGAGUCCGAUGAUUCUUCAGUCAACAAUUACUCAAGUCUAUCAGGGAAUAGCGGUGACCAAGGACUGUCCAGGAAGAUAAUUGAUUUAGAAAUUGAGCUUCGUGAAACAAAAGAGAAGCUGCGGGUGCAGCAAGAUGAGAGUGUUGAUGGCUCAUUUAGGGGAGUGAGAAAAGAGGAUUUUGAUGAUACUCUUGCUAGAAUUGCAGGGUAUGAGCGAGAUCUGACAAAUGCAAAUCAGAGAAUACAGGUGUCAGAAGAAGAGGUUGCUAGAUUGAACAUUGAGCUUAAAAAAUAUAGGUCAUCUGAGGUCACUGAAGGUUUGCAAUCUGAGUUUGCAUUGUCCACUGAGAGCAAGGCGAUGACAAGGGAGGCUGAGCUGGAACCUGAGAUCAAUCAAGCUUCACAUCUUCAAGAAAGGGUUGAUGGGUCAGAAUCUGAAACUUUUGACUCCAAUGCUAAGAUUCAGUCACUAAUGGAAGAACUUAGGGUUGCUAAUGAGAGACUUCAGUUUUCAGAGAAAGAAAUUACCACUUUGAAAGGGCAAAUUGAGGGUGAUGGACCCUCUGAUAAAAUCAAUAAUUUGCAGGAGGAACUUGCAUUGGCUCACAAGGAGAUAAAUACGUUGAAAAAAAAGCUCAGCGUGGAAAAAAGGGAGGUCUCCAAGCUGCAAGAAAGAAUUUCCAGGUUGAAAAGUAGUCUCUCCGACCGGGAUCAUGAGGUGAGAGAUCUUAAAAUAGCAGUCUCUGAUGCUGAGCAGAAGAUUUUUCCAGAAAAAGCACAGAUUAAGGCUGAAAUGUCUAAAAUGAUAGAGGAGAAGACACGCUUGGAGGAGCAGCUGAAAGAGCAAGAAUCACAUGGCCGUUCUUUAGAGGAUGACAUUAGGAUGUUCCAGGCUGAAAAGGCAGAAAUGGAGCAAAGACUUCAUCGUGAGAUUCAGCAGUUAAAGGAAGACAUUGCUGAGAGAGACAAUCACAUAGAAAAAAUGGAUAAAAGCCUUGAUGUUUUAAAAUCUGAGAGAGAUGAGCUUAAUGUUAAAGUAAUUGCUCUUAAAGCGGAGGUAACUACAAGAGAUGAACGGAUUGAUCAAAUGGAUAGGCAUUUGCAACAGUUACACAUGGAGCAUGUGAAGCUGGUUUCUGGUGCUGAAGAGGCACGAAAACUAAUGGAUGUGUUAAGAUCAAAAGUUAAGGAUCUGGAGGAAGAAGUUGAGAGGCAAAGGUUUGUAAUCCUGGAAGGGGCAGAAGAGAAACGGGAGGCUAUAAGGCAACUGUGCCUCGCACUUGAACAUUACAGGAAUGAUUAUCAUACGCUUAGACAAGCUUUUGUCGGGCAUAAGAGAGUUCCAGUCUUGGCAACAUAAGUUAGGUUGUGGCUGCAAUGCAACUGCACUUCUGAUAGUGCGAGCGAGAGCCCCGGUCAGGUACUCAAUAGUGUAAUGAUGCAAUAUUAUUUAUUUCUUCACAUAUCUCAAGCUUGAGUUGAGUGAUGCCCAGGUUUACUGCUAUUAAUGGUUUGUAGUAGUCCUGUGUUAUUUCUUUGGUUUGUGUAGCAAACAUAAAAGGAGAGCUGUCAUGUCUUGGGGGGCCAUAAAAAGAAAUCCUGGAACAUCAAAAAGUAGCUGAGGAUUAUCGUAAACCUACUCAUGUUGUUUUGAUGGGUUGGUCUUGAUUCUCACCCGUACUUUUAAUCCCUGAAAUGGAGUUUUUAUUUUGUGCAAAA